AGCUGGAGGAGUAAAGAUGGCGGUGCGGGGGUCUCCGCCUUCUGCUCCUGGCUGAAGUGCUUUGAGGGAGGUAGCAGCGGUUACCAGAGCCGCAACAGCAAUCUAGCGGUGGUAGUUUCGGCAGCAACGGCCAAGGCCAGAGCAAUGGCGGAGCUGGAGCACCUGGGAGGGAAGCGGGCAGAGUCGGCGCGAAUGCGGCGGGCAGAGCAGCUUCGGCGCUGGCGGGGCUCGCUGACAGAGCAGGAGUCCGCGGAGCGACGAGGCGCGGGGCUGCAGCCGCUGACGAGGCGUGGGAGCCCCAGGGUCCGCUUCGAGGAUGGUGCUGUCUUCCUAGCCGCCUGCUCUAGCGGGGACACCGACGAGGUAAAAAAGCUUCUGGCAAGAGGUGCGGACAUAAACACGGUCAACGUGGACGGCUUGACAGCCCUUCACCAGGCCUGUAUUGAUGAAAAUUUGGACAUGGUAAAAUUUUUGGUAGAGAACAGAGCCAACGUAAAUCAGCAAGACAAUGAGGGCUGGACACCCCUUCAUGCAGCAGCUUCCUGUGGCUAUCUCAACAUCGCAGAGUAUUUCAUUAACCACGGAGCCAGUGUGGGUAUUGUCAAUAGUGAAGGUGAAGUCCCCUCUGAUCUUGCAGAAGAACCAGCCAUGAAGGAUCUUCUUCUGGAACAAGUGAAGAAGCAAGGAGUUGAUCUAGAACAGUCAAGAAAAGAAGAAGAGCAGCAGAUGUUGCAGGAUGCCCGCCAGUGGCUCAACAGCGGGAAAAUAGAGGAUGUGAGGCAGACUCGCUCAGGGGCCACAGCCCUCCAUGUGGCCGCUGCCAAGGGCUACUCUGAAGUCCUCAGACUUUUAAUUCAGGCUGGCUAUGAACUCAAUGUUCAGGAUUAUGAUGGCUGGACUCCCCUCCAUGCUGCUGCUCACUGGGGAGUGAAAGAGGCUUGUUCCAUCCUGGCAGAAGCACUCUGCGACAUGGAUAUCCGAAACAAACUGGGCCAGACACCAUUUGAUGUAGCUGAUGAAGGUCUUGUGGAGCACUUGGAGAUGCUUCAGAAGAAGCAGGAUGUGCUUCGAAGUGAAAAGGAGACACGGAAUAAACUCAUUGAGUCAGAUCUGAAUAGCAAAUUGCAGAGUGGACUCUUUAAGAACAAAGAGAAGAUGCUUUAUGAGGAAGAGACACUCAAGUCCCAAGAAAUAGAGGAAGAAAACAAAGAAUCUAGCAGCUCCAGCUCAGAGGAGGAGGAAGGUGAAGAUGAAGCUUCUGAGUCAGAAACUGAGAAGGAGGGAGAUAAAAAGCCAGAAGCCAUUGUCAACCAUUCCAAUUCUGAAAACAAGAGUAUUAUCACAGAGCAAAUACCAGCACCUACUCAGAAUACCUUCUCUGCCUCUUCUGCUAGGAGAUUCUCCUCUAGCCUUUUUAACAAAUCAGAAGAGCCCAAAGAUGAAUCUCCUUCUUCAUGGAGAUUGGGACUCAGAAAAACUGGCAGCCACAACAUGCUAAGUGAGGUGGCCAACUCCAGGGAAGCUCUAAGGGACCGAGGUUCUUCCAUCUACCGCUCCUCAUCAAGCCCUCGGAUUUCUGCUUUGCUGGACAACAAAGAUAAGGAGAGAGAAAACAAAAGCUAUUUUAGUUCACUAACACCUCGGAGACUCAGCAGCACAAGUGACAUUGAAGAAAAGGAGAACAGAGAAUCAGCUGUUAAUCUAGUGAGGAGUGGCUCCUAUACCCGGCAGCUAUGGAGGGAUGAAGCAAAAGGAAACGAAACCCCACAGACAAUUGCUCCUUCUACCUAUGUAUCAACCUACUUGAAAAGGAUUCCUCACAAAUCCCAAGAUGACUCAAUAGCAGAGAAAACAGCAGACAGUGUCUCUUCUACCACUCCGCUUUGUGUGAUCACCAAUCGUCCUUUACCUACCACUGCCAGUGGGGUUACAACUGCCACUGUGCUCCCCAGUACUGGAACAGACUCCUCUGUGGAAGCCAGGGAGAAGAGGAGAUCCUAUCUGACUCCCGUACGGGAUGAAGAAGCAGAGUCUUUACGGAAAGCACGCUCCAGACAAGCUCGGCAGACGCGAAGGUCUACUCAAGGUGUUACCCUAACAGACCUUCAAGAAGCAGAAAGGACUUUCAGCCGGUCGAGAGCAGAGAGGCAAGCUCAGGAGCAGCCUAGCGAGAAGCCUGUAGACACUGAAGGCCUUGAGGGGAGCACUGAGAAGCAUGAGCCCUCUGCAGUCCCAGCAAAGGAGGCUGAAGAAGGCCAGCAGUCCUGGGGCAGGAAUCUGGAUGAAGAGCUUGUCGGUCGUCGCCUGAGGUGUUCAACUCAGCCAGACAAACCCAAAACACCAGUGUCUCCUUCUACAUCAAACCCCUCACUCUACACCAGUUCCCAUCUAUUACAGACAAGUAGAUUUUCGAUCCCUGAUUCUGAGAGUUCAAAGACUACCACAAACACUACAACUACGAGAGAAAUGGACAAAAAUGAGAAUGAAGAAGCAGAUUUGGAUGAUUACUCCUCUAAUAGGCUGUCCAUCCGAGAGAGGCGGCGGCCCAAGGAACGACGAAGAGGUACAGGCAUCAAUUUCUGGACAAAAGAUGAAGAUGAAACUGAUGGUUCUGAAGGGGUCAAAGAAACAUGGCAUGAAAGACUUUCUAGGUUGGAAUCUGGAGGUAGUAGCCCUACAACCAGCGAUUCUUACAGUGACCGGGCUUCAGCAAGAGCCCGUCGGGAGGCCCGGGAGGCCCGUCUAGCCACCCUGACCAGCCGUGUAGAAGAGGACAGCAACAGGGAUUAUAAAAAACUCUAUGAGAGUGCCCUGACUGAAAACCAAAAACUGAAAACAAAACUUCAAGAGGCCCAACUAGAACUAACAGACAUAAAAGCCAAGCUUGAGAAGAUGGCCCAGCAGAAACAAGAAAAGACAUCUGACCGAUCAUCAAUGCUGGAGAUAGAGAAACGGGAGAGGCGAGCCUUGGAACGGAAAAUGUCAGAAAUGGAGGAAGAAAUGAAGAACCUCCACCAGCUAAAACAGAUUCAAACCUUGAAGCAGAUGAACGAGCAACUACAGGCUGAGAACAGGGCCCUGACCCGAGUGGUGGCCAGACUCUCGGAGUCCAUCGAGUCCUCGGACACCCAGGAGCUCUAGUUCUUGCCCCUCCUCUUCACCUCACUUCCCUCCUCUACUACUCCAGGCAGGUGUUAACAGAACUGAAGUCUGACAACCAGAGGCUGAAAGAUGAAAAUGGUGCCCUCAUCAGAGUCAUCAGCAAACUGUCCAAAUAGACUAGCCUCCAAAUUUAAGAGGAAGGGAAAGGACAGCAUUUGCUGCCCCCACCCCUGUUUUCCAGCCCUUGCCUUCCAACCAAAGGAGUGGAUGUUUUGGUGGAAGGACACUUCUUUCUGACCCUCUCCAGUCACCUCUGCACUGUACAUUUUCUCUGCACUCCGAGUGCUCCGUUCCUCUCACAACCCCGCCCCAAGUUUUAUGACAGUUUUAAAAUUGAAGCAUGAUUGUAAUAAUUUGAGCCAUCUGGAGAAGGCCUUGCGGAGUACACCAGGCUCCGCUGUGGACCCCCAGCUUCCUGCUGCUCAGCUACUUGGUCCACAUUGGAUUUGGUUCAAGCAUGUAAGGCUUCUACCUGAACCAGUACUCCUCUGCUUUUUACACUGGCCCAGUGUCCUCUGAUAUAGGUGAGUCUCGUGGUAGUCACUGCAGGAUCCUGUCUGGCACCUGUCUGGGGUGCCAAGAGAAACAGCAGGAUGGUAAAUUAAUCGUCAGACAGGCUUUGGAGCUGUGGAGGUAGCAGUGACUCUACUCUCUAAUCUUCUUCACCUCUCAGGAACUGACUUGUUUUUAUUUUUUUUCUGUCAACAACUCAUUAACAUCCCUGACUAGUCUUAAUUUCUAUUACUCUCUUAUGCCCAGGCCUUUUUCCAAGGCUCAGGUGACCCUGGCUUCAUUUAUUCCCUUCUAUCCUUUCACUUUUUUCCUCUCUGCUCCACCCCCUCACUUGAUGGUAGAAAAGCUAGUACAAAGCACCCGACCUCAUUUGUCUUUGGCCAGUGUGGGAAAUCAUUAUUCUGGAGACUACAAAAUCAUCACUUUGGUGCCUUGGCGGUGGCACCACCAGCCCUCUCCUUGAAAAGCCAUUCCAUGGCUUACAUGUCAGCCCAUGGUUCUCAUCUGCCACUUACCUUCUCCCUACAAAAUGAUUUUCUCUAUUAGAAAAUGUGGGCUUUGAAUACCCCAGUCUGCCUCACUUCCCUUUGACCUCGUUUUCUUCUCUUCACUCUGGCACUUGCUCCUAAGGAGAAAUGAAGUCAGUCUAGGGAGGAAUGAGAGGUGGGGAGGGAAGAUUGUUGGGAGAUGGGGCAGGGAGUGGUGCAGGCUGGAAAGACACAUGGUGAAAGUACAUUAUCUGAGGACACUUGCAACAUGGUGACAAAGAAGGUAGAAGACAGCAGCCCAUUGCAUGGCAGCAAUGGUGGAGAAUUUGGUAUUUCCAGUGGUUAGAUUUAGAGGAAAGACAUGUGCUUUCUUAGAAGCUAACAGGAGAAAUAGCGUUUAGUAGAGGUUUAAAGGAAUGAAGUAUUUUUCAACCCAUGGAUGAGAGUCAUGGAAUUUUAGGCCAGGAGGUCAUUUGGUCCAGCUUUCUAGUGUGGUGUCACAGGGACCCCUGCUACCAGAGCUUUUACCCAGGAUUUGGUACCUCUGGUGGCUGUGCAUUUAUUACUUGAAAGUUAAGUAGCUCUAAUGACCAGAGGGUUUUCCUGCUAGGAGCUGAAGUCUGCCUAUGGGUUCUCCCAUGGUCCUGAUCUACCCUUUGCAGGUCUUCGACAUGACAGCCCUUCACAUGUGUGCAUUGGUACAUUGGUGAUCUCUCCUUGUCUUCUCGAGCUGAUGCUCCUUGUGGCCUUUCAGUAACUGCUCACAUAACAUGCUUUUCUUGCCUGUUGCAUCUCCUCUAGCCAAAAACAGCCUUUUAAAAUAUCAGACCUGGAAAGAAUAUUCCAUAAACCCAGCAUAAACGUAAACCAUUAAUUCUUGAUGACCCCAUAUUAAUACUUACAGUAUUUUCUUUUUGUAGGAGUUUUAUUCCUUGGCUCAUUUUGAAUGUUCAGGUCAUUUCAAUCAUCAUUUUAGGGUUGCCAGUGAUAAUCAGUGCUUAGAGUGGCCCAUUCUUUUAAUAUAUAUGUGUACUACCACUGGCUGUUAAUUUCUUACCUAAAAAUGACAGAAUAGUUCUCCUUGGACCUCUGAAACAUCACAUGCUCUUUAAACCAGAAGCUAUAAUUCAAGAUCCCAGUUCCAGAACAGGAGAUACAUAGGGUGGUAUAUAAUAGUAUGAUACAUGUAUAUAUAAUAUAUACCAUAUAUAUGUGUGUAUAUAUAUAUAUAUAUAA